UAGGGGAUUUUUGUGUAGGAUCUUUGUGAGUACCACAGAACGAUGGACAAGGCUUAGAUUUUGUGGGUAGUUGUAUUGAUUUGCAAGUAAGAAAGUAGAAAGAGACGUUUUAUUAGAUCAAAGAGCUGGAACUACAACAGUUUUGAGUAAGAACCCUAGUUCUAGCCGCCUAGCUCUAAUCUCUAAGUCUCGAAGUGUUGAUCC
rnacentral:lncRNA from 1 species